rfam:Citrus sinensis cultivar Ridge Pineapple sweet orange scaffold03294_contig_1, whole genome shotgun sequence.
AUACUAUGAUGUUGACAUCUCCUAAGUAACUUCUUAAAUCUUUCCAAUGCAUCAUAUAAGCUUGCAUCUUCAAGUUUAUAAAAAGAUGUGACCUCAUUUCUCAAUUU